rnacentral:tRNA from 1 species
AGAAGCGUGCCCGAGACUAAGGGUUAUUUUGAUGAAAUAGACACAGAACAACUAGUUCUCGCUUCU